UGGGGAAUUUUGGACAAUGGUGGAAACCCUGAUCCAGCCAUCCCGCGUGUGCGAUGAAGGCCUUCGGGUUGUAAAGCACUUUUGGCAGGAAAGAAACGUCAUGGGUUAAUACCCCGUGAAACUGACGGUACCUGCAGAAUAAGCACCGGCUAACUACGUGCCAGCAGCCGCGGUAAUACGUAGGGUGCAAGCGUUAAUCGGAAUUACUGGGCGUAAAGCGUGCGCAGGCGGUUCGGAAAGAAAGAUGUGAAAUCCCAGAGCUUAACUUUGGAACUGCAUUUUUAACUACCGGGCUAGAGUGUGUCAGAGGGAGGUGGAAUUCCGCGUGUAGCAGUGAAAUGCGUAGAUAUGCGGAGGAACACCGAUGGCGAAGGCAGCCUCCUGGGAUAACACUGACGCUCAUGCACGAAAGCGUGGGGAGCAAACA
rnacentral:rRNA from 1 species